rnacentral:rRNA from 1 species
UACGUAGGGCGCAAGCGUUGUCCGGAAUUAUUGGGCGUAAGAGCUCGUAGGCGGCUUGUCACGUCGGGUGUGAAAGCCCGGGGCUUAACCCCGGGUCUGCAUUCGAUACGGGCUGGCUAGAGUGUGGUAGGGGAGAUCGGAAUUCCUGGUGUAGCGGUGAAAUGCGCAGAUAUCAGGAGGAACACCGGUGGCGAAGGCGGAUCUCUGGGCCAUUACUGACGCUGAGGAGCGAAAGCGUGGGGAGCGAACAGG